GACAGAAAGGCAACAAAAGCGAAGACAAGCCCAGAAACCCAGGAGGCACACGCACCGAAAAACAGAAAAGAGGAACGGACGAGCCCCCAAUUUCUGUUACGAUCCGCAGUCUAGGGUUGAGGAUCGACAGAAAGGGCCAGGGUCAGAGGUCAGAGGGCGGAAGAAGCGUGGCCGGAAACUGGGAGGCGGGCUGAAGCAACAACUGGCGAGUGGAGCUUGGGGCGGAAGACUCAGGUGUCCAGUAGACAUAUCCAAACACUUACGCCACGUAACAAGAGAGACUUCUGCAGAUAUUGUUUUUUCGCAUUCAUUGCUCCUGUAAUUCUGCUAAAAUGAUCAAGGUUAUAUUUGCUGUGUGGACCAUCUUGAUGACAAAGGAAUGCAGGUGUGCGGUGCGCAGUGAGUACGGUUUCCAUAUACUUACCCAAGCUAAUAAUAAUUCAUGCCUGAAAUGAGUGAACUAUAUAGGGUAAAUGACUAAGUAACUGUACAAUACUUUUACACGAUGUAACAACCUCUCACGUAGUCGGCUGUGUAGAGACCCCAGAAAACACAUACAGUUCUGGAAAAAAUCAAGAGACCACAGCAAAAUUUUAAGUUUCAUUCAUUUCUCAAU